GAAAGUUUACUUUCACUUCCUGAACUUCGUGGAGUGGCGCUUGUUGUUGGUGUGUGAAGAAACUCUCCUUAGAUCACAUGACCUGGAUGACUGAACCUACAGACAUAUUGACCUGGUUUCUAGGUCACAUGACAGACUGACUGAAGAUGAUGAUGGAGGAAGAGGAGGACAGAGC